UACGGAGGAUCCAAGCGUUAUCCGGAAUCAUUGGGUUUAAAGGGUCCGUAGGCGGUUUUGUAAGUCAGUGGUGAAAGCCCAUCGCUCAACGGUGGAACGGCCAUUGAUACUGCAAGACUUGAAUUAUUGGGAAGCAACUAGAAUAUGUAGUGUAGCGGUGAAAUGCUUAGAGAUUACAUGGAAUACCAAUUGUGAAGGCAGGUUGCUACCAAUACAUUGACGCUGAUGGACGAAAGCGUGGGGAGCGAACAGG
rnacentral:rRNA from 1 species